CAGUCGCCACGGUAAUACGAAGGGUGCAAGCGUUAAUCGGAAUUACUGGGCGUAAAGCGUGCGUAGGCGGUUUGUUAAGUCUGCUGUGAAAUCCCCGGGCUCAACCUGGGAAUGGCAGUGGAUACUGGCAAGCUAGAGUGUGUCAGAGGAUGGUGGAAUUCCCGGUGUAGCGGUGAAAUGCGUAGAGAUCGGGAGGAACAUCAUUGGCGAAGGCGGCCAUCUGGGACAACACUGACGCUGAGGCACGAAAGCGUGGGGAGCAAACAGGAUUAGAUACCCGGGUAGUCCCUGUCUCUUAUAC
rnacentral:rRNA from 1 species